rnacentral:rRNA from 1 species
UACGUAGGUGGCAAGCGUUGUCCGGAUUUACUGGGCGUAAAGGGAGCGCAGGCGGCCGAUUAAGUUGGAUGUGAAAUCCCCGGGCUUAACUUGGGUGGUGCAUCCAAUACUGGUUGGCUAGAGUACAGGAGAGGAAAGCGGAAUUCCUGGUGUAGCGGUGAAAUGCAUAGAUAUUGGGAGGAACACCGGUGGCGAAGGCGGCUUUCUGGCCCUAUACUGACGCUGAGGCAUGAAAGCGUGGGGAGCAAACAGG